rnacentral:rRNA from 1 species
CCUACGGGAGACAGCAGUAAGGGAUAUUGGUCAAUGGGGGAAACCCUGAACCAGCAACGCCGCGUGAGGGAAGACGGUUUUCGGAUUGUAAACCUCUGUCCUCUGUGAAGAUGAUGACGGUAGCAGAGGAGGAAGCUCCGGCUAACUACGUGCCAGCAGCCGCGGUAAUACGUCGGGAGCGAGCGUUGUCCGGAUUUACUGGGUGUAAAGGGUGCGUAGGCGGCUUGGCAAGUCAGUAGUGAAAUCCAUGGGCUUAACCCAUGAACUGCUAUUGAAACUGUCGAGCUUGAGUGAAGUAGAGGUAGGCGGAAUUCCCGGUGUAGCGGGGAAAGGCGUAGAGAUCGGGAGGAAAACCAGUGGCGAAGGCGGCCUGCUGGACGAUGACUGACGUUGAGGCUCGAAAGCGUGGGGAGCAAACAGGAUUAGAUACCCUAGUAGU